GUGCCAGCAGCCGCGGUAAUACGUAGGGUGCAAGCGUUAAUCGGAAUUACUGGGCGUAAAGCGUGCGCAGGCGGCCAUGCAAGACAGAUGUGAAAUCCCCGGGCUCAACCUGGGAACUGCAUUUGUGACUGCAUGGCUAGAGUACGGCAGAGGGGGAUGGAAUUCCGCGUGUAGCAGUGAAAUGCGUAGAUAUGCGGAGGAACACCGAUGGCGAAGGCAAUCCCCUGGGCCUGUACUGACGCUCAUGCACGAAAGCGUGGGGAGCAAACAGGAUUAGAAACCCUUGUAGUCC
rnacentral:rRNA from 1 species